GACGAACGCUGGCGGCGUGCUUAACACAUGCAAGUCGAACGGAAAGGCCCUGCUUUUGUGGGGUGCUCGAGUGGCGAACGGGUGAGUAACACGUGAGUAACCUGCCCUUGACUUUGGGAUAACUUCAGGAAACUGGGGCUAAUACCGGAUAGGAGCUCCUGCUGCAUGGUGGGGGUUGGAAAGUUUCGGCGGUUGGGGAUGGACUCGCGGCUUAUCAGCUUGUUGGUGGGGUAGUGGCUUACCAAGGCUUUGACGGGUAGCCGGCCUGAGAGGGUGGCCGGCCACAUUGGGACUGAGAUACGGCCCAGACUCCUACGGGAGGCAGCAGUGGGGAAUAUUGCACAAUGGGCGGAAGCCUGAUGCAGCAACGCCGCGUGCGGGAUGACGGCCUUCGGGUUGUAAACCGCUUUCGCCUGUGACGAAGCGUGAGUGACGGUAAUGGGUAAAGAAGUACCGGCUAACUACGUG
rnacentral:rRNA from 1 species